rnacentral:misc_RNA from 1 species
AAGUCGUAACAAGGUUUCCGUAGGUGAACCUGCGGAAGGAUCAUUAACAAAUUCCAAAAUUCGUGUUGGUCUUGAUUGAGUUGGUUUUUCUCUCCUUCUCUUCUGUAUGGAAGAGAAAGAAGGAGGAUUAAUAAAAUCAAGACCGGCUCUAAAAUUACAUUUACAUUUAUUGACAACAAAUGGAGAACCAAAACAACAUUAGUUGAAACAACUUUUAACAAUGGAUCUCUUGGCUCUU